CACAGAGUUGCAGCCCAGUCUGCCCUUUCUCUGCCAUAGCCCCCAGAAACCUCACCAUGGCAAAUGGACAGAAUAACCUCUAGGGCACAGGAUAAGACUGCAAAGGAGGAGAGCACAUUACUUCUGGGUUUGGUCAGUUGGUCAGCAAUUCAUGGAUCCAGCAGGAAGGGAAUGGCAGUCUCCACCAGAAAUCAUCAGCCGACCAGGAGAUUCUCGUCAAAUGGAGAGCUCCCAGAAAAAUAGGGAAACAAUUGAGGUGAGCAAGAUGG